rnacentral:pre_miRNA from 1 species
UUAUAACAUUUUCCUCGGCAGUUAACUGCAGCCGGAUUUCUAAAACUUCGGCAGUUAACUGCCGAGGGGUAU